rnacentral:lncRNA from 1 species
UUUGUAGUCAAACUUCCAUCUUUCUUCCUUCCUUCUUUUGGGCUUGGGGGCACUAUGUUGCUAAAUAUGAGGCCAUCUGUAUGCUGUCAAAUAGUUUAAUAAGGGACAUUGUUUAAAUUUUUUACCUAUGCUUUACUUCCUUCUAGGAUGGAGUAGAUGACACAAUGGUGCCUCUGAAGAUCAAAAUCAAGAGAUUACUGAAAGUACGUGUCUAGACAUGGAGUAUAAUUCUGAUCAUGCCUGGUAAUUAUCUUUCCAUUUAUAAUACCUACAGUAUUAUGAAGCAAGUCGUAUGACCUCCCUCCGCAGUUUAUACGUGCUUACUAUGUGUUAUUUUGCGGCCCUAGUAAUCAAUUUUAUUAUUUUUGAUAGAGCAAAUAAUCACUUCUGUUAUACAUAUAUGACCGAGAAGAAGGUAGUACAGUGUUUGAGGGGGAUGGUUCAUCAGUGUUCCUUAGUGUUCCUUGGUGACGAGGCAUCUUUCCAGAAGAAAGAGGUGGAAUUAGCCAAAAAAAACUGGUAAGUAUGGAGAUACAAAAGUCUUAAAUCAUUCUUCUGGCAUAUAUUCGCAUUUAUAUGUUUGUGCUAGAACUAGCAAACUCAUGUAUGUUACUGGGACUCGGUGGAAGUUGUAACGACAUGAAUGGCUGAUUCUUUCUA